GGUACCCAACGGAGCAAUUAGUUUUUUUUAUAUAUUUGUAAACAUUGAAGCCCCGCCCACUCGCGGUAUUAGGCCACGCCCCCUCCGCGGCAUUAUGCCCGCGAUUUACUAGUCUGUCGGGAGAGGAGUCCUGCCUGCAGAAAACCCCAAUGGCUGGAAAGGAGAAGGCGCUCAUCACCAGGUUUCCUUGCAAGCAAGAGCCCUGACUGCAGAACAGGAAAUCCAUCCAGCAGCACUGCAAAGUAACUACGGCUCUGUACUUUCAUCCUCCACAUCUACUGUUGGCAAGACAGAACUUCAGUAACUAGAGAGAACGUGCCUGCUGAUUACACACGUGUGCCUCCUGAGACCUAUGAUGACUUGGAUGACAUUGCAAAGGGAACCAUCAAGUGGAUAAAGGAUAUAAAAUGAUGAUGUCACAUGUGCUGUACUAUAUGCAUUACAUAAUUAAUUGAAGCAACCUGCCAUCUGCAUAGAACAAGACAAUGAUGUGUGUAUUGAUGUACCAAAUGAGGAUUUGUCUAGAUAAGUGGCUAUUGAAAACAGAAAUUAACUGUUCAUUGCUCUACAAAAUAAAAGGGCCCCCGCUACCACCUUACUGUAAUGACCACAAUUCUUGUUGAAACUGACUUGUACAAAAUGCCACUGGCACAUAGAAUGUCAGCAAUAUAUAGGGAGGAGACAACAAGCUAAUAAAAAAACUAAACAUUUCUGCAACAAAA